AUAGGAUUACCUGGGGGCCCUACUAAAAUGCAGAUGCUCACUCAGGGGGUUUGGAGUAGGGUCUGAGAGUCUGCAUUUCUAACAAGCUCCAAUGGAUGUCAGU
rnacentral:miRNA from 1 species